rnacentral:rRNA from 1 species
AUUGAACGCUGGCGGCAUGCCUUACACAUGCAAGUCGAACGGUAACGCGGGGCAACCUGGCGACGAGUGGCGAACGGGUGAGUAAUAUAUCGGAACGUGCCCAGUAGUGGGGGAUAGCCCGGCGAAAGCCGGAUUAAUACCGCAUGAGACCUGAGGGUGAAAGCGGGGGAUCGCAAGACCUCGCGCUAUUGGAGCGGCCGAUAUCAGAUUAGGUAGUUGGUGGGGUAAAGGCCUACCAAGCCGACGAUCUGUAGCUGGUCUGAGAGGACGACCAGCCACACUGGGACUGAGACACGGCCCAGACUCCUACGGGAGGCAGCAGUGGGGAAUUUUGGACAAUGGGCGCAAGCCUGAUCCAGCCAUGCCGCGUGCGGGAAGAAGGCCUCGGUUGUAACCG